AUGGCACAUAUUGCACUUUUACGUUCUUCUCCAACACUUUGUUUUUGCAUUAUUUAAACCAAAUUGAACAUGUUUCAUUAUUUAUUUGAGGCUAAAUUGAUUUUAUUGAUGUAUUAUAUUAAGUUAAAAUAAGUGUUCAUUCAGUAUUGUUGUAAUUGUCAUUAUUACAAAUAAAUAAAACAAUCGGCCGAUUAAUCGGCAUCGGCUGUUUUGGCCCGACAAUAAUCGGUAUCGGCGUUGAAAAAUCAUAAUCGGUCGACCUCUAAGACAGACCCACACCGACACGCACAAUCACACACCCUCCUCCCCCCUCCUGCUUGCCAACUCAAAGUAGCUCACCCUGAGAACCAGAGUCUAUGGGUGAAGGACUACUAGGUGGGGCGAAUCAUUCCAAAUCUUGCAGGUAGAAAUCUACUUCAUAGAAAGGAUAGCUUUCGCUAUUCCAUUAGAGUUGUGGCUGUUCUUUUAUGUUGUCGUCUUUCAAGCUGCAAUGCUUUGAAUGUUUCAACUGCCUGAAUCUGCCCUGCAGUAAUGUUUCUCAACCCAGUUGUUUUACAUACAGCCCAGCUAGCACAUUUGGUUCCUUUGAAGUUGUAGGAACAUAUGUUUUUGGUUUCACAUUGGUUGUGGGAAGGGAGCCAUACUUUCCUGACCGGUAAAACUGAAAGUUCUUCAAACAUUCUGACAAGAGAAGUUCCAAGAAAAGCAAAAUUGUCACGUCUUACUUCUCUGACCUAUUUGAGAACAUUCCCAAUGUCAAACCAGUUGGAGAACAUUACCAAAAUUGAAAUGAAAUGUAGCUAUAUUUGAACUUAUAUGAAACGUUGAAACACAUAACGUAAUGAAAAAUGUUUUUGUCAAGUUCAUUAAAUGUGCAGAGAAUGUUCCAAAGCCAAGCAACUAUCCUGCACCAUUCCCAGGAAGUUGUGGGAAGGUUGUAUGCUAAAUAACCAUAGGACAACCACAACCAUAGGACAACCAACCAAGUAACAUAUGGUUCUCAGAACAUUAUGUGCUUGCUGGGAGUAUUGUCUGAUUCACACUACAGGGCCGGGCCAAGCUGUAUUGGGCUGGCCUGGUUACGCGUCCACCAUAGUUCCUGGAACCAUGUUGGAAAGGACAAUGUGAAGAUAAAAUAUCAGCCAGUACAGUUCAGGACGUUCCUAUAGUGUGAAUCAGACAUCAGUCAAACGGCUGGUGGACCCAAAGAACUGAGGUUGAGAAACACUGUAGAGUAGGAGUGCUGAUCCAGGGUCAGGUCCUCCCUGUCCAUAAUAAUGAUUUAUUAUGAUGCAAACGGCUAAACUGAUCCUAGGUCAGCACUCUUACUCUGAGACGCUUGAUAAAUAGGGUCCCUGAUCCCUGUCAUUUAUUAUAGGCUCCAGAACACACUGUACACAGUACAGGUUAUUAUAGGCUCCAGAACACACUGUACACAGUACAGGUUAUUAUAGGCUCCAGAACACACUGUACACAGUACAGGUUAUUAUAGGCUCCAGAACACACUGUACACAGUACAGGUUAUUAUAGGCUCCAGAACACACUGUACACAGUACAGGUUAUUAUAGGCUCCAGAACACACUGUACACAGUACAGGUUAUUGUAGGCCUUAGGCAUGUUUUACUUGUACCACCUGUUCUGAACAUAACAAUGCAUUGAUUGGAGGUUUAUAUUUACAAUUGCUGUUGACGUUUUAUGAAUUACCCCUUCUACAGCAUAUGUUGACUGUAUUUACACAAAUGAUAGAGAGAUAUAUAAUACUAUAUAUUUCAGAUUUUUUGAGGGAACUGUGUAAAAAAAAUACAAUGUUUGAUGUUUUUGGUAUUGUGGUGUUACUGGAUAGAGCUACUGAUGCGUGGGUAAAGAAUGGCCACGACAAGAAGGACUCCCGUUUGACGGACGUUUUACUGAGGGAUGUUCUCUGAUGAUGGGAAUUCACGUUCAGUAGAUGCUCUUCUACAACUGGUGGCGACACCGGCUCUGUCCAGGCGCUCAGCCACAGAACGAUGUCCACGUCCGUGCGAUUAGCAUGCGAGCAAACUUCCCAACUAACUGUGGGAAAACCACACAACUGGCUAACCUCAACAUGGCACGCCCACUAACCAAUGAGCGACUAUCAGAAGGUGGACAGUAGAACCCACAGGGGAGAACAAGGAGCUAUGCCAUCUGCACUACACUAUGGAUAGAAGUGUAUUUUGAUGAACUGAAAUGCUAAACUCAAUGUUGGACAAAAAAAAACGAAACUUAUUUUUGUCCUCUGCUAUUUCCAGGGGCCUCUGGGUCUGAAUUCAUAAAGCAGAGUGGAAGUGCUGAUCUAGGACCAGUUUUGCCAUUUAGAUCAUAAUGAAUAAGACUACAUGGACAGGAGGGGACCUGAUCCUAGACCAGCCCACCAACUCUGAGGUUCUUUGUGGAUAUGAGCUGUGGUCUCUGUAUUUUGUUCUGUUUUGCUUCCUGUUGCCUGAUUUGACAGGAAGUGGUGACCCUGUCUCUUGGUUACCAGGUAAUCUAACCUCACAGUAUUGGCUUGCUGCUGAAGUAGCCUUGGCUUCUGGUUAUUGGUGGAAUUCUGUAUUGCUGGAGUCUGUUUUGUGCCUGUGCUUGCAGCAUACCCCUUAUAAAAAGGGCAGUUUGAUUGUCCUGAUGGUGAUUGCAUGGGGCUUGUCCCGUCAUGGUUAACUGUUCUCAGAUAUCGUAUUUAUUUGUUUGUUUAUUUGGGUCCCCGUUAUCUUUUGCAGAAGCAGCAGCUACUCUUCCUGGGGUCCACACAAAAUACAAAACAUGACAAGUAACAAAACACUGGUACACUGACAGACAAGGACAGUCACACACAUUUAAAAUACAAUAAUAUACAAACAAUUCAACAACAAACUGUGUGUGUGUGUGUGUGUGUGUGUGUGUGUGUGUGUGUUACCUGAGAAGGUCAUCCGCUUUUAAUUACUUUUGUCUUCCCAUCACCCCCCUGCUGCUGGACAGGAGUGGUGGCUGCUGGGUAAAACCCUUGGACAUAUACCAUAGCAAAGAGCAUGCAGUCAUUUCUGUUUUAAUAACAUCUCUCCAGCAUGUCCAUUCAUUGUGUUUUAUUACUGCUGGUAUUAUAAUGUAUUAUUCCAUAUGUGAAAUCAAAGUGGCCAACAAGAGAUAUUGAGGUCUCUUAACUUCCCUGAGCGGGAUCAAUCAAUUUCUCUGAUCCAAUGGGAGCUCUAUAUUUCAGAGCUUCUAUUGGGUUUUGGGAUGAUUGACAGCAGCCCAUGGUAUUCCGGCAGUCCUGAGAUUUCAUAUCAUGUAUUUCUAGUGUCCAUCCUUCAUAGUGUCCAAGUCGUGCCAUUGACCACUAUUACUGAAUGAGAAAUAUGUUUACACGCGUUGAACUGUCAAAGGCUGAAAAUAGCUCACGGCAGAAGGAGCUAGUUCAUGUCACUCUGUUUGUUGUUUCUAAAUAUUCUAAUAGAGAAGUUACCAUGUUAAGUUAUAAAGUUAAAGCAUCUACACCAGCAUGUGUGUUACUGUAUGAAUCAGAAUUGAUUGAUGUUUUCUGCAGAAUAGUGAAUUUUAGACCGUAAGGCAACUUUUCAAGGUGACUGCAGAAGUUACAUUUACUGUGCUUCCAAAAUGGCACCCUAUUCCCUACAUAGUGCACUAUUUUUGACCAAACCCCUAAGGGCCCUGGUUAAAAGUAGUGCACUGUAUAGGGAAUAGGGUGUCAUUUGUGCACUCUUAAACGUUCUUGUUUAACAUGGCAUAUAUAUUUUUUUUAAGUCAAGUUUGUAUUAUAGAGAAAGAGUGUUCUACAAAUCAAGUUUCAAUUGAGGAAAGUGACAUAAAUAUUUAUAUGUACCGUAUUGGGGUCAAGAGGUCAAGGACCAUCACGGCUGAACCUUUGAGUUUAUUAAGUGUUAAUUAAUGUGGAACUCCAUAUUUAUUGUGUUUCCUGCAUUGCUCACGGUCUGUUGCCUUUUAUGUGUUUGCUUGUGCUGCUAUUUCCCACAUCAUAAGGGACACAUCCACAUUCAUCUGGAAUAUAUGUGUCUUACAAAUGACAUAACAGCUGUUAUAAACACUUAUGACUGCAGAUGUUAUCUUUUGACGACUGACGUAACACUGUCAUGACAAACUGGAAUUGAGGUAGGAAAUCCCUCAAACCCUUCAUUAGAUUGUAGCACUGUUAUAACAGACAUAACAGGUUUUAUAUAUAUAUAAUGUCAGCUUAUGACAACUGACUUAACACUCAUGACACCAAACUGUUAUUUAGGUCAGCUAGUUACCACUAGCCAACUAGCUUAUAGAUAAUGUUAAGACUAUUCAUGUCAUUUGUUAUGUCAAUGAUAUGUAGGCCUUAUGCCAGGGCAUAGGGUUCAGGUAACGUGUUAGCUGCCAUAAUGUAUAGGCUGCGUCCCAAAUGGCACCCUAUUCUCUACAUAGUGCACUCAUUUUGACCAGAGGCCUAUGGGCACUGGUCAAAGGUAGUGCACUAUAAAGGCAAUAGGGUGCCAUUUGGGACGGGGUGCCAUUUGGGACUUUUAUAUAUGUAUCCAUACCAGACCUGUGUUCAAAUACUAUUUGGAAUCUUUCAAAUACUUUGAUCCUUUGCUUUUAGCCUGUCUGGAAUGUGAGAUGGGCGGGGUUUGCAGUUUUGCAACUAUUCUAUUGGUUCCAUUGUGCCAGGCAAACAUGAUCAAGCCCAGCUAAAGGGUUUUAAGAUACUGUAUUUCGAAUAUACUGAACAAAAAUAAGCGCAAGAAGUGUUGGUUCUAUGUUUUACGAGCUGAAAUAAAAGUUCCCAGAAAUGUUCCAUACGCACAAAAAGCUUAUUUCUCUCAAAUUUUGUUCAAAAUUUGUUUACAUCCCUGUUAGUGAGCAUUUCUCCUUUGCCAAGGUAAUCCAUCCACCUGACAGGUGUGACAUAUCAAGAAGCUGAUUAAACAGCAUGAUCAUUACACAGGUGCACCUUGUGCUGGGGACAAUAAAAGGCCACUCUAAAAUGUUCAGUUUUGCCACACAACACAAUGUCACAGAUGUCUCAAGUUUUAAGGGAGCGUGCAAUUGGCAUGCUGACUGCAGGAAUCUCCACCAGAACUGUUGUCAGAGAAUUGAAUGUUAAUUUCUCUACCGUAAGCCGCCUCUAACAUCAUUUUAGAGAAUUUGACAGUACGUCCAACCGGCCUCACUACCGCAGACCAUAUGUAACCAUGCUAGCCCAGGACCUCCACAUCCGGCUUCUUCACCUGCGGGAUGGUCUGAGACCAGCCAUCUGGACAGCUGAUGAAACUGGGUUUGCACAACCAAAGAAUUUGUGCACAAACUGUCGGAAACCGUCUCAGGGUAGAUCAUCAGUAUGCUCGUCAUCCUCACCAGGGUCUUGACCUGACUGUAGUUUGGCGUCGUAAACCACUUCAGUGGGCAAAUGCUCACCUUCGAUGGCCACUGGCACAAUGGAGAAGUGUGCUCUUCACAGAUGUAUCCUGGUUUCAACCAUACAGAUAGCAGACAGCGUGUAUGGCGUCGUGUGGGUGAGCGUUUUCUGUCAACCUUGUGAGAUAGAGUGCCCCAUGGUUGUGGUGGUGUUGUAGUAUGGGCAGGCCUAAGCUACGGACAACAAACACAAUUGCAUUUAUUGAUUGCAAUUUGAAUGCACCGAGAUACCGUGACGAGAUCCUAAGGCCCAUUGUCAUGCCAUUCAUCCACCACCAUCAUCUCAUGUUUCAGCUUGAUAAUGCACAGCCCCAUGUCACAAGGAUCUGUACACAAUUCCUGGAAGCUGAAAAUGUUCCAGUUCUUCCAUGGCCUGCAUACUCACCAGACAUCUCACCACCCAUUGAGCAUCUUUGGGAUGUGUGUUCCAGUUCCUGCUGAUAUUCAUCAACUUCCCCCAGCCAUUGAAGAGGAGUGGGACAACAUUCCUCUGGCCACAAUCAACAGCCUGAUCAACUCUUAUGUGAAGGAGAUGUGUCACGCUGCAUGAGGCAAAUGGCGGUCACACCAGAUACUGACUGGUUCUGAUCCACGCCCCUACCUUUUUUUAAAGGUAUCUGUGACCAACAGAUGCAUAUCUGUAUUCCCAGUCAUGUGAAAUCCAUAGAUUAGGGCCUAAUUUAUUUAUUUAAAUUGACUGAUUUCCUCAUAACUCAGUAAAAUCUUUGAAAUUGUGUCAUGUUGCAUUUAUUUUUUUGUUCAGUAUAGUAUUUGAACCCAGGUCUGACCCAUACUCCUCUGUGACAUCAUGUAUAUGCUGUGACAGCAAACAUGCUCUGAAAUACUCUUCAUGUCUCUGAAACAAUAAAACCUUCAUGAGUAAUGUG